UCUAUUUUUCCUUCUCUUUCUUUCUUUGUCUGUAUCAACGAAAACCAACAAUGGAAUAUUUGCAGGACGUUGGGAUCCGUGUUUCUCGAUCACACAGAAUAAUCCAAUUCAGCGUGUCUCCACAUUUUUGCGUGUGAACCUCAUCGCCGUUUUUGUUCUCCACUGAUUGCAUUUAAUUGCACGGAAUGGAGGAGGUUUAAAGUUGCAAAGGACGUGUUGUUAUUGGUGUUGUUGCUGCUCUACUUCUUAUAAUUGUUGUUGUGGUGUGGUAGAGGUAUUUGGAAUUUAAAGAUUGAGUGGGAGCGAGAGAAAUGGCUGCCAGGAGUGAACAGCAAUCAGUUCCUCUUUCGGUGCUCCUGAAGCGUGAAUUGGCUCAUGAGAAAAUUGAGAAUCCUGAGAUUGCUCAUGGUCAAGCUGGCCAAAGCAAGAAAGGGGAGGAUUUAACCCUGGUGAAAACAGAAUGCCAAAGGAUGGUGGGGGAUGGGGUGUCUACAUAUUCAGUUUUUGGGGUGUUUGAUGGACACAAUGGAUCUGCUGCUGCUAUUUAUACUAAGGAGAAUCUUCUAAAUAAUGUUUUAAGCGCAAUUCCUCCAGAUCUUAACAGAAGUGAGUGGGUAGCGGCAUUGCCCAGGGCUUUAGUUGCUGGCUUUAUAAAAACUGAUAAAGAUUUUCAAGAGAAAGGACAAAAAUCUGGAACAACUGUUACCUUUGUGAUUAUAGAAGGUUGGGUUGUAACAGUUGCAUCAGUUGGCGAUUCCCGUUGUGUACUUGAAUCUUCUGAUGGUGAGAUUUAUUACUUGUCUGCAGAUCACAGGCUAGACACGAAUGAAGAGGAAAGGGUGCGGAUCACCUCUAGCGGUGGUGAAGUUGGUCGGCUAAAUACAGGGGGAGGUGCAGAGGUUGGUCCUUUGAGAUGUUGGCCCGGUGGCUUGUGUCUCUCACGAUCUAUUGGAGAUAUGGAUGUUGGUGAAUUUAUUGUCCCUGUACCGCAUGUAAAGCAAGUGAAGUUGUCCACUGCUGGAGGCCGGCUUGUUAUCUGCAGUGAUGGUGUUUGGGAUUCUCUACCUGCAGAAGCAGCACUUGAUUGUUGUCGUGGAAUGCCACCUGAUGCCGCAGCACCACAUAUUGUUAAAGUGAGAUUAAUGAAGCUGUACAAGCAAAGGGACUUAGAGAUGAUACAACCUGCAUCGUUGUUGAUAUAUUACCUCAGGAAAAGCCAUCUGUUUCUGCAUCACAUACAAAGAAGAAGGGAAUGCUCAAGUCCAUGUUUCGUAGAAAGUCUUCUGAAUCAUCUUCUUAUAACGACAAAGAUUACGUUGAGCCAGAUGUUGUUGUGGAAUUGUAUGAAGAAGGAUCUGCCAUGCUUUCUGAGAGGUUCCAUACUAAAUAUCCAAUCUGCAACAUGUUUAAGUUGUUUAUGUGUGCAGUGUGUCAAGUAGAGAUAAAACCUGGAGAGGGCAUUUCAAUACAUGAGGGUGCACCCAACUCUGGAAAAUUUCGUCCCUGGGAUGGUCCUUUUCUGUGCUCAAGUUGCCAAGAGAAGAAAGAAGCCAUGGAAGGGAAAAGAUCAUUAGGUAGAGUUAGCAGUGGAAGUGACGACUGAGCUCUCAUGUACAUUUGCAUUUUGAGAGUGAUAAAAAUUGUUAAUAUGAUGGCAAGGUCAACCAUCCAAGCAAGAAAGAUUCCCUUCUAUUAUCAAAGGGGCUUUAUGGAUAUAAUUUGGAAUUCCAAAUGAAAAUGCAUAUGAAAGCGAAUAGCAUCCCGUUAGAAGAUUCUUGACUUGAAAGUAAUGAAAUAGCAACAACCAAGUGUUGUGAGCGGUUGUGUUAAAUGUGGCAGUGCACACCAAGCUGUCUGAGGUAAUGCAUUCUUUUUUAUAUCGUUUUUUUUUUGGGAUCCGUUCAUUUGUAUACGGAUCUAUUGGAAUCACUAUUGACCUUUAAUGAAAGUGGCCUUUGUUAUUGUAAUGUAAUAUAGGAAGUUUAAUUAGAAUUCAUGGAAUCAAUUUAUUGUAGGCUAGAUGUGUGUUUAAGUCUAUUGAAUGAUUUGUUCCUUCAUUGGAAUUUGA